UUAGUUUUUUCUGGAAAGUGGUUUUUGUGUUUCAAAAUUUGCAUUAAUUUCUAUUCUUUAUUUUGGAAGGAUGUUCACAACGUCCUUACUGAUCAUUUUGUUUGUGGUGUUGUGCUAAUAUACAAUUAUUUAAUUCUGUGAUUUAUUUCUACAAGAUUGGUGGUAUGAGUUCUACAGUACGUUAAGCUCUAAUCAGGCCGAGCAUGCCGAAGACCCUAUGCUGUGGUGUUCUCUAGACUUUUCUAAGUUAAAUUUGAUGUUUUUUUUGAGACAACUAUAAUCUAAAUUAUUGAUUUUUUAUAAAUUCGAAGGUUGCACAAACUAUGGACAACGUGCUACCUCAAGUCCCAUACGUUAUGCCAGCACAUAACAUAUCAUCUGCGGUGCUGGCGUUUAGUCCUGAGAGAUCGCAAGAGCAAUGGCCUUUCUAUCAAACUGUGCAGAUGGAACCAAGUUCCCGUGCCUAUCCCAAGGGGUGAAGAUUGUGAUCAAACCUUGUGUUUAUGCAAGGUUCGGUAAAGGGCCAUAUCCCAAGGGAUACAAUGUAGGCAGCCUACCUUGAUGCGAGCAUCAAUAGCUGAUUCCAUUGCUCGAAGUUGUGACCUAAAAGUGACACAGCGGCAACUGGUGCACCAAGCAUUCCAUGUUAGAAGGGUCUAGGGAAAGGCUGCAUUGCAAGGGUUGUGAUGUAGACAAGCUACACUAAUGCAAGCAUUAAUGGUUGCUUUCACGUCUCGAACCUAUGUUCUGGAGGUCACACAGAAAACUUUACCAUUCUUGCUAAAAUUUUCUAUAACAUAUGAUUUGUAUCUGUGAUCUCUUGAAAUUACCUCAGGAGUAGAGGGCAUAGAUUUAGGAAAGUUUUUAAAUUGUGAUAUCCAUUUCACAUAUGGAAGGGGGAAGACAUUCUCAUUGUGCAUCAUCAGGCGGAUAUGGUAGGAGGGGAAGUGAAAAAGGAAAUGAAUGUUAGUUCAAUUAUUGAGUUCCAUAAGAUUUGUUUCGUUUAUGUAUUGGAAAUUCACCUCACUGCCUUUCCUCAUUGGAGAAGAUCGAGAAUUCUUUCUUGGAAUAAGAAAAGGAUGAACUCCAUUUAAA